UUUAAUGACAACUUUCAUCCGCAACCCUUGGAUUUUGAUUGACGGCCAAGAUUUAUGAUAAUUAAAACCUAUUAAAACUGAAAAAAAGUUAUAAAAAUAUAAAACCACAACUUAUAGUAUCUUUCUCUCUCCUCUCGAUUCAUUACCCUCCUCCUUCCCUUGAAUCCCUUCCAAUCUCCCUGCAAAUUGUAAAUAUUCAAACACCAUGGAGUGUGACCUCAACAACGGAAACAUUAGUUACGUCUGAAAGUGUAGAUGAUUAUUAAGCCAAUUUAAGUUUUUUUUGUUCUUUUCGCGAGACUCCUCAUAUCCAUGAAUCGAUGAUAACAAGGAAUUGGUGAUGAUGAAUUGCUUCUCCUUCCCUCCUUGUUUAGUUAACUAAACCAGCCUUGUGAUUCAUGAAAUAAGUACUGCAAAAAUGUUGAUUGGAAAGGAUGAAUGAUUAUUUACAUAAGGUAAUUUAAUGUUUGAAGUCAAACUAUUAAUUGUCCUAUUUGGGAUAGGUAAUGAUAAUUAGCAUACUUAGUGUAUGCGUUGUUGAUUUGGUGUUGUACCUAUUGAAAGAAAACUUUUGUUUAUACGGGUUGCUUUAGCAAACUCUUAUCAUGUUUGGUUUCAAUGAUCAAUUUGUCUGAUUUUGGGA